rnacentral:rRNA from 1 species
GCGUGAGUGAAGAAGGCCCUAGGGUUGUAAAACUCUUUCAGUAGCGAUGAUGAUGACAGUAGCUACAGAAGAAGCACCGGCUAACUUCGUGCCAGCAGCCGCGGUAAUACGAAGGGUGCUAGCGUUGUUCGGAAUUACUGGGCGUAAAGCGCGCGUAGGCGGAUGAAUCAGUCAGAGGUGAAAGCCCCGAGCUCAACUUGGGAACUGCCUUUGAUACUGUUCAUCUUGAGUCCGAGAGAGGGUAGUGGAAUUCCCAGUGUAGAGGUGAAAUUCGU